rnacentral:rRNA from 1 species
UGAGUAACCUGCCCUUCACUUUGGGAUAACCCUCGGAAACGGGGGCUAAUACCGGAUAUGACAUUUCACCGCAUGGUGUGGGUGUGGAAAGUUUUUCGGUGGGGGAUGGGCUCGCGGCCUAUCAGCUUGUUGGUGGGGUGAUGGCCUACCAAGGCGACGACGGGUAGCCGGCCUGAGAGGGCGACCGGCCACACUGGGACUGAGACACGGCCCAGACUCCUACGGGAGGCA